AUGAAGAGCGGGCUCGCGGUAUCCUUAUAUAGUGUGGCUGCGGCGAGAGUGCAGGUGGUGCUUGACGCGUCGAUCGCAUGUGGGCCCCAUCAACAGCUUUGGGUCUGGUCCCACGAUCCUGACGUCCAUCUGUUAGGUCCUUCCCUUUGUUUUACGCUGUCCAGCCACCACGUGGGCGGUGGGCCCCAUUUGCUGGUUUUAUGCACCAACACCAAGCAUCCAACAACAAGAUUCAAGAAUAGGAAAAAGAAAAUAAAGCAGAAGUCACAACAAGGAAAAGGAGGAGGUCUCACCGGGGGCACAGCAAAACAAGCCCCAAUACAAGCUAAGAAAACAAAAUUUAAUCUGGCUCCGGAGGAGAAGGCGGCGGUGGUAACCCUAUGGUGCCCGCCCUGGCCCACUGACGAGCGUCUUCCUGGGUCACUUGGACGAGGCGCGAGACACAAGGUCGUUGGCCAUCGAAGAUGCAACCAUUACAAUGGUUCCGUAGUCACCAGGUGGGUAAUGAAGAUUUACCACAGCUUGACAGCUGCUUUGCUACAGUUUUUUAUAGACAGAUUGAGGAAAGAAGAAACGUACGGAAAUCAACUUGCGUGCGGACGCUCCUCGCCCGCUCCUCCCUUCUUCCGUAGAGUCAGAGAGGCGACGGGAGAGAGACUGAGAGAAACGGCGCCCGCUCCUCCCUUCUUCCAUAGAGUCAGAGAGGCGACGGGAGAGAGACUGAGAGAAACGGCGAGGCCGUUGCUGCCUCCACCGGUCCACCCCUCGAUGCUCUGCGCCCACCAGAGGGUGUUUGCAUCUGAAAGUUGUUGCCGGUCUAGCAUAAGGAAAAUACAGAUAUGGACUUAUGAACAAUUUAGGGCCUGUUCGGAUUCCCUCCCGCUCCGUGACUCUGCUCCCGGAGCAGCCGGAGCUGCAGUUCAGAUUUAUAGAUCGGGGAAACAGGUGCUCCCGCGCGUCGACACCAACUUCACCUUCUCCUGCUUUGGUUCCAUCUACUUGUAUGCUACUGGAAGCAUACAAACUCUACAUGUAAUGGAUCCUGACACGGUGAAGGGGCUGGCCGAUUGCAAGUCUUUGGAUCUUGGAAAGGUUGCUACUUGCAGAAAGAGCAUAGAGGGGGGCAUCUCCAACGCCGACCCUCAAACUGCCUGCCUACGUCCGGACUGUGGAAGCAAUCCCACACGGGCCGGGCAUGUAUCAUCCACAAGGCGGUCUAGAUGUACUUUCUCCCGCAAAUCGGAGGCAAACGUGAGGGCUUUGCGGGCGUCCGGACAUCUCUCACUCCCGCUUCUGACCACACUGACCCACCCAAACCCUCUUCUUGCUCGCCCGCACACAUUCCCGCCCGGCGCCAGCUGCCCGCAUUAA
rnacentral:rRNA from 1 species